ACUCCUACGGGAGGCAGCAGUGGGGAAUAUUGGACAAUGGGCGAAAGCCUGAUCCAGCCAUGCCGCGUGUGUGAAGAAGGUCUUCGGAUUGUAAAGCACUUUAAGUUGGGAGGAAGGGCAGUAACUUAAUACGUUGCUGUUUUGACGUUACCGACAGAAUAAGCACCGGCUAACUCUGUGCCAGCAGCCGCGGUAAUACA
rnacentral:rRNA from 1 species